UGGGGAAUAUUGGACAAUGGGCGCAAGCCUGAUCCAGCCAUGCCGCGUGAGUGAUGAAGGCCUUAGGGUUGUAAAGCUCUUUCGCCGGUGAAGAUAAUGACGGUAACCGGAGAAGAAGCCCCGGCUAACUUCGUGCCAGCAGCCGCGGUAAUACGAAGGGGGCUAGCGUUGCUCGGAAUCACUGGGCGUAAAGCGCACGUAGGCGGAUCGUUAAAGUCAGGGGGUGAAAUCCUGGAGCUCAACUCCAGAACUGCCCUUGAUACUGGCGAUCUCGAGUUCGAGAGAGGUUGGUGGAACUCCGAGUGUAGAGGUGAAAUUCGUAGAUAUUCGGAAGAACACCAGUGGCGAAGGCGGCCAACUGGCUCGAUACUGACGCUGAGGUGUGAAAGCGUGGGGAGCAAACAGGAUUAGAUACCCUGGUAGUCCACGCCGUAAAACGAUGGAUGCUAGCCGUUGGGGGGUUUACCUCUCAGUGGCGCAGCUAACGCCUUAAGCAUCCCGCCUGGGGAGUACGGUCGCAAGAUUAAAAACUUAAAUGAAUUGACGGGGUCAUAGCUGUUUCCU
rnacentral:rRNA from 1 species